rnacentral:rRNA from 1 species
AGAUGUGUUGUUUAAUACAUGUGUAUAUUGCUCGUUAAAACAUGACGUUAUGCACGACUUGCACAUUAUUUCCAACCAAACUCUAGUAAAAAAAUUACAUACUUAAACGAAGUUAAUUGAAAUAUCUUACUAGCUUUAGGAAAAGAAAUCAAAAGAGAUACUUUGAGUAGUGUGAGCGAAAGAGUAAAAGUCAUUAUAGUAAAACGAACACAGAUUUGUUUGAAAUUAUGGGGGACCUUCCUCUAAGACUAAAAAUAGCAUAUUAAACGAUAGAGAAAGUACCGUGAGGGAAAUCAUAAAACAGCAAUUUUAUAAGCAGCUUUUAUUAAAUUUAAAUAGAAAAUUAGAGCGUACCUUUUGCAUAAUGGGUCAGCAAGUUAACAUCUGAUGCGAGCUUUAAUGCGCAGUUAAAACAAUUAACAUACUAAAAUAUAGUAUCAGAUAUUAGACCCGAAGCCUAGUGAUCUUACCACUAUCAGGAUUAUAAAUGUCCGAACGGGUGAUUGUUGCACAAAUCUCCGACGAAUAGUGGUAAGUUAGUGAAAGACAAUACUGACUAGGAUAGCUGGUUUUCUGCGAAACCUAUUUAAGUAGGUAAUUUAAAUAAAAUAUCGGUAGGUACAGAAUUGUAAUCUCAUACAGCUUGUUUUAUGUCAUAUUAUUUAUAAUUUAUUAUUAAAAGGAUUAUAAAUUGUAUGGCUCAGGAAUAUUCUGUGUAUAUUGGGGAGUCUUAAGGCCUUACCAGUGAGUAUUUAUUCUCGGAAGGACCAGAUAUAUAUAUAUUAAAUAAUCAGACAUAGUGCGAAAAGGUUGUAUGUCUAGAGGGAAACAGCCCAGAACAAGAGUUUAAGGUUCCAAAAUUAUUGUUAAGUGAAAUUAAGGUAGUUUUUAUCCUAAACGGCCAGAAAGUGGGCUUAGAAGCAGCCAUUUUUUGAAGAUAUCGUAGUAGAGCACUGGUUUUUAACUUUUUAGUUUUUAUUUAAAUAGAGACUAUGGAUGAAAGCACCGAAGAUUUAACGGAUCUAAACAAUAUACCGAUACCUUGUCCUUACCCAUUUACGCAGUAAAUAUUAUUAUAUUAUGUAUACAUGUAAUGGGUAUGGGGUAGCAGAACGUUGGGUUUUUUAAUAGUCAGAUCUUUAUAAGAUUUGUAUAUAGUGUUAAAGACUUGUAUUAUCUAUAGUCAAAUCUACAUAAGAUUUGUAUAUAUUAGCUUUAAAAGUUAGUAUUAUCUAUAUCAUUUACCUGUCCUUAGUUUUUUGGCGACAAAAAAAAAUAACAACCAAUUGUUAACUAUAAAAUUUGGAUUAUAAAAUCCCAAGUGACAAUGCUGACAUGAGUAACGAUAAAGGAAUAUUUGUAUUUAUAGCAGAGGUAUAGAUAGCAUAAUUUUCCCGCCUAAAGCUUAUGGUAUUUUAUUAAAGUAACGGCCUCUAAGUUUUAAAUACCCAAAAGGUAUUGACGAUGAGUAAAACUUCAGUUUUAUAUAAAUAACACUUUGUGACAAGUGUUCUGGAAAAAUGAAAACUGUUUUAUUAUUACAAAAUAAACUAAAAAAGAUGAAGUAAUAAUAUUAUAGAAACCGUACCUAAGAACCACCACAGGUAAGCUAGUAGAAAAUACGAAGGCGUUCGAGUGAACAAUCAUUAAGGAACUCGGCAAACUAUCACACGUAACUUCGGGAUAAGGUGAGCCGUUGUUUAUAUUAAUAUAUAGAAAGAUACAGGUGGCAUAUAAUAGUGUUGUACGACUGUUUAAUUAAAACAAAGCACGCUGCAAAGAAAUAAAUUCGAAGUAUUGGGUGUGAUUUCUGCCCAAUGGCGGCUGGUCAUCUGAGAUUCUUAGCUGACUAAAAUAGGCUAGGUUUUGAAGGAACCCCCGUUAAAUGGCGGCCUUAUCUAUGAGGGUCCUAAGGUAGCGGAACACCUUGGCCGUUAAAUGCGGUCUUGCAUGAAUGAUGUAACGAUACAACAGCUGUCUCUAUGAUUGGCUCGGUGAAAUUGGAAUAGCAGUGCAGAUACUGCUUACCUCUAGGUAGACGAGAAGACCCUAUGCAGCUUUACUGUUUCUAGUUAUUGAGCGUGAUAUAAUUAAUUGUAGUGUAUAAGGUAAUUGAUAAGAUAUAAUUGAAACACCUUUAUUGCAUUUGUCACGCUAUAUGUACCUUACCAGGGAAUAGAUUAAUAUCAUUUCUUAAAGAUUUUGUAGAUAAGUUGGUAUGUUAUUUUAUAUAUUUAAUUUGAACACAAGCACUGGUUGUAAUAAUUUAAGGGAAUAAUUGCUAGGUGGCAGUUUAUGCGGGGCACAGAUCCCAUAAAAAGUAACUGGGUGUAUCCAAAUUGAUUUUUGUAAAAAGGCAAUAUGCUAUUAAACAUAGUUUAGUUGUCGUGAUUAAAGUCAAGAUUAAUAGAAUUAUGUUUUUUUUUAGUGUUUUAUUGGCAUAAGUUGUCAAUCCAGUUAUGCAUCCAUAUAAGUUGGAAAAUUAAAGUUAGGUAAGAUUUUAACUAUACCAGUUAAUAGAUGUAGUUAGAACUAAUUGGUUUAAAGGCAAAUAAAAUUGCAACUUUAUUUAACAUUUAGUGCCUUUGUUGUUUAUAAAAUAAUAAUUUAUUAAUAAAUGAUGUUUAAACUACUUUAAAAGUUAAAUGGCUUAAUCUUGCUUUACUGAUUGACUUACACGUCUUUCAGUCGCGUAAGCGGGGCAUAUGAUCACAAAACACAGAAAGGAAAGGUUUUGGAUUUAUGGAAAAGCUACGCUAGGGAUAACAGGCUAAUCGCACCAGAGAGUUCAAAUUGAGGGUGCGGUUUGGCACCUCGAUGUCGGCUUAGCUUAUCCACAUAAAUGUAGAAGUUAUGAAUGGUUGGACUGUCCGCCCAUUAAAAAGCUACACGAGCUGGGUUAAAUACGUCGUGAGACAGUAUGGUUUCUAUCUUCUAGGGGGAAUUGGAAUAUAAUAAGGAUAGACCUUUGUACGAAAGGAAUUAGGUACUUUAACCUAUGGUUUACUUGUUGUUUAUUUACUUAUAUUAAGUUAAUACUUAAAAGUAUAUUUUGGAUUGGGCUAUAUAAACCCAAUCUUUAUGUUUUUUUAAGUAUGAGAUUAUACUUUUCACCAAAGUAUUAUUAAGUUGUAUUAAAAAUAAACUAAAACAGAUGAAGGGUACAAUCUUUAGCGAGAUAGGCAUGGCAGGAAAGCUACGUUGAUUUUCGAUAAGUGCUGAAUGCAUAUAGGCACGAAACACACCUUAAGAUAUUCUUAAAUAUAAGUAGUACAUUACUACAUAGUUAUAGUAUAUUAUUACAUAGCUUA